AUUUAUUUUAUUUUCAUUUCCAAUUCAUUUUCUUUGUUCUUUCACUCCUCCGCCUCACUUUCCUUUCUUCUCUGAUUUGCCUAAGCUUUCUCUCCCACUCCUCCUUCACUUUUUUCCAUCGAUGUCUUUCAUUAUUUUACCUAGUGAUGUUUCUUAGAAGUACAAAGAGAGGCAGUGAGAAAUUCAUAAUUAAUUGAUAAGCUUAUGUUUUCAGAAUUUGAUAGAUGGAUUCAUAUGAGUACCUUCAGAAGAAUAACUCUUCUUCUUGUAAUAACUUUUUUUCGCCGGAGCUGACGUUACCGUCGAGGAAGUCCAUUCUGCUUCCGUUGUUUCUGAUCCUCUGUCUGUGUUUCCUCUUGUUAUAGUGACUCAUGUUUUGGUGUCCAAUCACCAGAAGAAUAAGAAAGAAUCGGACAAGGUAGAUCGGAUCGUUGAUGAGAUGGGACACCAAAUCACCAAGGGUUGCAAAACUAUCAAGCACUAGUAUGUGUUAUCUCCAGAAUACACACCAUUGCUUAUUUGCUUCAUCCCUCAUGAGCUCACUUAUUUUUAGGAAUUACUUGAUAGUGCGUGAAGUUUUUGUUUUGUUGCAGAAUAGUGAACCAUAUAUCGAUGGGGCUGGUACUGAAAUUUGGUGUGUUUAGAGUUUAAUGAUGAAAUUUUGUAAAAUAACAAGUUUUCUGCAGUGAUGUAAUUAUGUGAAAUAACCGGUUAAUAUAUUUCACUUGUUUU